GGGAGGUGGCGACAGUGGUACUUAUCCAGAGCGUAUGUGUGGUUGAGGCUACUCUGUCCCCACCUCCAGG
rnacentral:precursor_RNA from 1 species